CGUGCGCGAAGUUCACCACGGUCAGCAUGCCGAAAAUCAACGACAAGCCGAUGGCGAACAACACGUAGAUCGCGCCAAGCGCCAACCCGGUAAAGAGUUGCAGUGCGAUCAGAUCAAAGCUCAGGCCGGCCAUAGUUAUCUCCAAGUAAGACGCGCGCCCCGCGAGGGACGCGCGUCUGCUGGUUCACAGUUCAGGACUUGNGCUUCGCAGGUGCGCAGGUUCUUUUCGCUUGGCUCUUCAGUCGCCAGCACAUUGAACACGU
rnacentral:misc_RNA from 1 species